UCAGACGAUGCGUCAUGCAUAUCAAUAAGCGGAGGAAAAGAAACUAACAAGGAUUCCCUUAGUAACGGCGAGUGAAGCGGGAAGAGCUCAAAUUUGAAAUCUUCAAGGUUUUACCUUGACGAAUUGUAGUUUAAAGAAGUGUUUUCUGCUGAAGUUUUGGUAAAAGUUCUUUGGAAUAGGACAUCAUAGAGGGUGAGAAUCCCGUAUUUGACCAUUAUUUUCAGCUUUGUGAUACACUUUCAAAGAGUCGGAUUGUUUGGGAAUGCAGUCCAAAAUGGGUGGUAAAUUUCAUCUAAAGCUAAAUAUUGGCGAGAGACCGAUAGCGAACAAGUACCGUGAGGGAAAGAUGAAAAGAACUUUGAAAAGAGAGUUAAACAGUACGUGAAAUUGUCAAAAGGGAAGCGUUUGACACCAGUGUUGUUUUCUCGAAAAUCAAUUAAAAAUGGCUCGAUUUUGUAUUGCUUGAGACCUUAAAAGCUCACUGUACAUUUUUCGUGUCUUUUUUAAUGCACUUUUCGUUUAACAAGUCAACAUCAGUUUCUUUUGUUGUAAAAGGGUCAUUGGAAGGUGGCUUUCUUUUCGGAGAAAGUGUUUAUAGCCUUUGGCCUCUGCAAUCGGAGAGACUGAGGUCUGCAGCGUAGACUCUUCGGGGUUAGAUACAUUUGUGCUAAGUUAAAGCUUUUUAUAGACAACUUGUUGGCUAUAAUUAGUCUUGUAGCUUACUCGCUUAUGCUAUUUUACCUACGCUUAGGAUGUUGAACUACUGAGACAUAGA
rnacentral:rRNA from 1 species